rnacentral:rRNA from 1 species
AUUGAACGCUGGCGGCAGGCCUAACACAUGCAAGUCGAACGAGUGGCGGACGGGUGAGUCAUGUCUGGGAACCUGCCCGAUGGAGGGGGAUAACUACUGGAAACGGUAGCUAAUACCGCAUACCAUCGGAUGUGCCCAGAUGGGAUUCGCUAGUAGGUGGUGUAACGGCUCCCCUAGGCGACGAUCCCUAGCUGGUCUGCGAGGAUGCCCAGCGACAAUGGAACGGAGACACGGUCCAGAAGCCGACGGGAGGCAGCAGUGGGGAAUAUUGGACAAUGGGGGCAAGCCUGAUGCAACCAGGCCGCGUGUAUGAAGAAGGCCUUGGGGUUGUAAAGGACUUUCAGCGAGGAGGCGUUACUCGCAGAAGAAGCACCGGCUAACUCCGUGCCAGCAGCCGCGGUAAUUC